rnacentral:rRNA from 1 species
AGGGGGGNAGAAUUCNAGGUGUAGCGGUGAAAUGCGUAGAGAUCUGGAGGAAUACCGGUGGCGAAGGCGGCCCCCUGGACGAAGACUGACGCUCAGGUGCGAAAGCGUGGGGAGCAAACAGGAUUAGAUACCCUGGUAGUCCACGCCGUAAACGAUGUCGACUUGGAGGUUGUGCCCUUGAGGCGUGGCUUCCGGAGCUAACGCGUUAAGUCGACCGCCUGGGGAGUACGGCCGCAAGGUUAAAACUCAAAUGAAUUGACGGGGGCCCGCACAAGCGGUGGAGCAUGUGGUUUAAUUCGAUGCAACGCGAAGAACCUUACCUGGUCUUGACAUCCACAGAGCUUUCCAGAGAUGGAUUGGUGCCUUCGGGAACUGUGAGACAGGUGCUGCAUGGCUGUCGUCAGCUCGUGUUGUGAAAUGUUGGGUUAAGUCCCGCAACGAGCGCAACCCUUAUCCUUUGUUGCCAGCGGUCCGGCCGGGAACUCAAAGGAGACUGCCAGUGAUAAACUGGAGGAAGGUGGGGAUGACGUCAAGUCAUCAUGGCUCUUACGACCAGGGCUACACACGUGCUACAAUGGCGCAUACAAAGAGAAGCGACCUCGCGAGAGCAAGCGGACCUCAUAAAGUGCGUCGUAGUCCGGAUUGGAGUCUGCAACUCGACUCCAUGAAGUCGGAAUCGCUAGUAAUCGUGGAUCAGAAUGCCACGGUGAAUACGUUCCCGGGCCUUGUACACACCGCCCGUCACACCAUGGGAGUGGGUUGCAAAAGAAGUAGGUAGCUUAACCUUCGGGAGGGCGCUUACCACUUUGUGAUUCAUGACUGGGGUGAAGUCGUAACAAGGUAACCGUA